rnacentral:rRNA from 1 species
GCGCAGCGGCCGGCUACAGGAACUAGAGGGGGCAUCCUUUUGCUAUGGGACGAAAUCCUCCUUGAUAUCUCUGACAUUGUCACCACCACCUACUGCUUGUCAGCCUUGGUGCGAAUACACUCAUCUGGUAUUUGCUUCAAAGCAACAUCUGUCUAUGGACCCACUGACGCGGCGUGCAAAGAUGCGUUCUUUGCGGAGAUCAUCAGCCAAAAGCCUUUGCCGGAGAUGGCAUGGCUUGCAUUAGGGGACUUCAACCAGAUGUACCGAGCGAGGGACAAAAAUAAAUGUAAUGUGAGCCGGAGCAGGAUCAACCGUUUCCGCGCCGCGCUGCAAUCCGAUGAGCUUAAGGAAAUACACCUCCAGAAUAGGCGCUUCACUUGGAGCAACGAGCGAAACAACCCAACCCUUUGCAAGCUCGACUCCUUCUGCAAUGCGGAGUGGGACACUACCUUCAACACCCAUAUUCUCCAUGCCUUAUCGUCUUCUCUCUCCGACCACUGCCCUUUGCUCCUAGCAGAUGACAAAGGACCAAGGCGACCACGCUCCUUCAAGUUUGAGAACCUAUGGGUAUCCUUGCCUGGAUUCCAUGAAGUGGUCCAAAAAGCGUGGAACGAGCCGGUAGCUCACUACGAUCCAUACCGGAGACUGCAUCACAAGCUCAAGAAGACCGCACUUCGACUCUCGGAGUGGAGCGAGAAAAUGUUCUCCAAGGCCAAGGUCCAUCUCCAUGCAGCUCACAUGGUGAUUCUUCAUCUGGACAUUGCUCAGGAGGAACGCCUGCUUUCACCUCAGGAGCUUGACCUUCGCUCUAGGCUCAAACGGAAGAUGAUCAGCCUUGCGAUACUGCAGCGGGCUAGGAAACGCCAGUGCGCGAGGAUUGCAAACCUAAAAGAGGGUGAUGCCAACACAAAAUUCUUUCAUCGACGAAUAAACGCUAGGAGGAGAAAGAAUCACAUCCACCGGAUUAAGGUGGCCCACAGUUGGGUUACGGAGCAUCAACAGAAAGAGAAGAUCAUCCAUGACCACUUCACUGGUGUCAUGGGUCAUGGGACCUCAACCAACUUCGAUUUUAAUUGGGAUGAGCUCAAUAUCCAUGUUAGAAUAAAUCCGAGGCGCUCCAUCGAUCAUCCGAGGACCAAACAAUCACACGAGCAUGGCACCGAGAUUUGUUAA